CCCUUAGACGUUCUGGGCCGCACGCGCGCUACACUGACCAGUGCAACAAGCAUCCGUCCUUGGCCGACAGGCUCGGGCAAUCUUUGAACGCUGGUCGUGAUGGGGAUAGACUUUUGCAAUUUUUGGUCUUCAACGAGGAAUUCCUAGUAAACGCAAGUCAUCAACUUGCAUUGAUUACGUCCCUGCCCUUUGUACACACCGCCCGUCGCACCUACCGAUUGAAUGGUCCGGUGAAGACUCGAGAUUGUGGUCUAGCUCCUUCAUUGGGGCUUGACCGCGAGAACCUGUCUAAACCUUAUCAUUUAGAGGAAGGUGAAGUCGUAACA
rnacentral:rRNA from 1 species